GAUCCUGGCUCAGGAUGAACGCUGGCGGCGUGCUUAACACAUGCAAGUCGAACGAAGCGAGAGGAGCUUGCUCCUUGAGCUUAGUGGCGGACGGGUGAGUAACGUGUGGGCAACCUGCCUUUUACAGGGGAAUAAUCACUGGAAACGGUGACUAAUACCGCAUACGACCUUCGGAAGGCGAUCUUCUGAAGAGGAAGGAAGCAAUCCGGUAAAAGAAUGGGCCCGGCAUCUGAUUAGCUAGUUGG
rnacentral:rRNA from 1 species